rnacentral:tRNA from 1 species
CGCGGGGUGGAGCAGCCAGGUAGCUCGUUGGGCUCAUAACCCAAAGGUCGGAGGUUCAAAUCCUCCCCCCGCUACCA